GCACCACUGGUGUAGCGGUUAGCAUUCCAGAUUCCCAAUCUAGAGAGCCGGGUUCGACUCCCGGGUGGUGCA